rnacentral:rRNA from 1 species
UUGCCAGCCCGCUCAGAAACUCAAAGGAAUUGACGGGGCCCGCACAAGCGGUGGAGUAUGUGGUUUAAUUCGAUGCAACGCGAAGAACUUACCUGGUCUUGACAUCCCGGAGACCCUUAGGAAACUAGGGGGUGCCUUCCAUCUGGAAGAAUCUGGAGACAGGUGCUGCAUGGCUGUCGUCAGCUCGUGUCGUGAGAUGUUGGGUUAAGUCCCGCAACGAGCGCAACCCUUGCCUUUAGUUGCCAGCAGUUCGGCUGGGCACUCUAAAGGGACUGCCGGUGUUAAACCGGAGGAAGGUGGGGAUGACGUCAAGUCCUCAUGGCCUUUAUGACCAGGGCUACACACGUACUACAAUGGCCGAUACAAAGGGCAGCGACACUGCGAGGUGAAGCCAAUCCCGUAAAAUCGGUCUCAGUCCGGAUUGGAGUCUGCAACUCGACUCCAUGAAGUUGGAAUCGCUAGUAAUCGUGGAUCAGCAUGGCGCGGUGAAUACGUUCCCGGGCCUU